rnacentral:rRNA from 1 species
UACGUAGGGCGCAAGCGUUAUCCGGAAUUACUGGGCGUAAAGGGCUCGUAGGCGGCCAACUAAGUCAGACGUGAAAUCCCUCGGCUUAACCGGGGAACUGCGUCUGAUACUGGAUGGCUCGAGUUUGGGAGAGGGAUGCGGAAUUCCAGGUGUAGCGGUGAAAUGCGUAGAUAUCUGGAGGAACACCGGUGGCGAAGGCGGCAUCCUGGACCAACACUGACGCUGAUGAGCGAAAGCCAGGGGAGCAAACGGG